UACGUAGGGCGCAAGCGUUGUCCGGAAUUAUUGGGCGUAAAGAGCUCGUAGGCGGUUUGUCGCGUCUGCUGUGAAAACCUAAGGCUCAACCUUGGGCUUGCAGUGGGUACGGGCAGACUAGAGUGCGGUAGGGGUGACUGGAAUUCCUGGUGUAGCGGUGGAAUGCGCAGAUAUCAGGAGGAACACCGAUGGCGAAGGCGGCAUCCUGGACCGGACACUGACGCUGAGGCGACGAAAGGCGUGGGGAGCAAACAGG
rnacentral:rRNA from 1 species